rnacentral:ncRNA from 15 species
UUUCUCAGAGUCUGUGGUUGCAAGUCCAAGCCAGAUGCGGGCAAAAGGACCCACGUAAGCUGUACAAAAAUGAUAUAGUGAGCAUGGCGCAUCUUAGAGGUAAGUCCUGCCGAGAAAAUCGAGAGGGUCAGUAGUGAGGCGAUCCCGAGCAAAAUCCCCAGCAGGCGAGUGUGGGGGCAAAGACCAGGUCAGUCUGAGAAA